rnacentral:rRNA from 1 species
GAUGAACGCUGGCGGCGUGCCUAAUACAUGCAAGUCGAGCGAAUGGAUUAAGAGCUUGCUCUUAUGAAGUUAGCGGCGGACGGGUGAGUAACACGUGGGUAACCUGCCCAUAAGACUGGGAUAACUCCGGGAAACCGGGGCUAAUACCGGAUAACAUUUUGAACCGCAUGGUUCGAAAUUGAAAGGCGGCUUCGGCUGUCACUUAUGGAUGGACCCGCGUCGCAUUAGCUAGUUGGUGAGGUAACGGCUCACCAAGGCAACGAUGCGUAGCCGACCUGAGAGGGGGAUCGGCCACACUGGGACUGAGACACGGCCCAGACUCCUACGGGAGGCAGCAGUAGGGAAUCUUCCGCAAUGGACGAAAGUCUGACGGAGCAACGCCGCGUGAGUGAUGAAGGCCUUCGGGUCGUAAAGCUCUGUUGUUAGGGAAGAACAAGUACCGGAGUAACUGCCGGUACCUUGACGGUACCUAACCAGAAAGCCACGGCUAACUACGUGCCAGCAGCCGCCGUAA